rnacentral:rRNA from 1 species
ACUCAAAUGAAUUGACGGGGGCCCGCACAAGCAGCGGAGCGUGUGGUUUAAUUCGACGCAACGCGCACCACCUUACCAGGGUUUGACAUCCCCGGAACCUGAGUGAAAGCUUGGGGUGCCCGCGAGGGAGCCGGGAGACAGGUGCUGCAUGGCUGUCGUCAGCUCGUGUCGUGAGAUGUUGGGUUAAGUCCCGCAACGAGCGCAACCCCCGUGGCUAGUUACGUGGUUGUCUAGCCAGACUGCCGGUAGCAAACCGGAGGAAGGUGGGGAUGAUGUCAAGUCAGCAUGGCCCUGACACCCUGGGCGACACACACGCUACAAUGGCCGGGACAGUGGGCUGCCAAGCGGUAACGCGGAGCCAAUCCCCCAAACCCGGUCUCAGUUCAGAUCGUGGGCUGCAACUCGCCCACGUGAAGGCGGAGUUGCUAGUAACCGCAGAUCAGCAGUGCUGCGGUGAAUAUGUUCCCGGGCCUUGUACACACCGCCCGU